UACAGAGGUCUCAAGCGUUGUUCGGAUUCAUUGGGCGUAAAGGGCGUGUAGGCGGCGCUGUAAGUCGGGUGUGAAAUUUCGGAGCUUAACUCCGAAACUGCAUUCGAUACUGCGGUGCUUGAGGACUGGAGAGGAGACUGGAAUUCAUGGUGUAGCAGUGAAAUGCGUAGAUAUCGGAAGGAAGACCAGUGGCGAAGGCGGGUCUCUGGACAGUUCCUGACGCUGAGGCACGAAGGCCAGGGGAGCAAACGGG
rnacentral:rRNA from 1 species